ACCUACAAAUCAACCACCUGGGUAACCCCUGGUGAACUGUCGGGCCUAUAAAUUUGACAGCUGGCGCACCAGGUAGGGGUGAUCGUGAGAUCCUCCCCAGCGAAUUUGAUGGCAGUCAUUCAAAGAUCGGAUCCGUGGGCGUGGAUCCUCUCCCGAUGACCGAGCGUCAUCAGCUUCACACAGCGUCGCCUUGGCGCGAGAGUUGCGGUGGCCACCAUGCGCUCUGAAGUUGCACUCGUCUAUGCCAAGCCGACCAUCGCCCAGGACUCCAUCUGUGUUGGCUUGAUGAACACACGAAGGGUCCAGACAGAUUCAUCGUCCAUCCCCGGCCGUUCUGUCGGUGUUGUCUCCACGACUACCUGCAUGGAUGCUGCAUAUGGCCAAGGAAAACCCAUCUACAAGAACAUAUGUCACCCGUGAUGGAGCCUUGCUCGAUUACGAAUCGUCUUGUAGGAUUAAGGCGAUACCCACAUCUGUAACCGUGCAUGGAUCAUGAGGUCGGCAGCAACUACGACACUCCAUCGACUCGGCUUUAAGCUGCACGACUCGGCAGUGACGUCCCAUGCAUCGUUGCUCCUGUAGGCAACACUGCCGACCACUUCGACCACCCGGACUUAACAUUGGCUUCAUCAAUAACUGUUCACCGACGGCUGCUUGCUCAGGCAUGAUGCUAACUCUCCGACUCGGCCACGAAUCAAGCUAAGUCAUAUAUUUAAUUAAAUAUUUUACAACUUCCAUAUAUUUCCGUAUGUCUCGACUCCUCCAUGUCUUCGUGACUUUCACCGACCGCCUCGGCUCCUCUAUGUCUCUGUGACUAUCGCCGACCACCUUGGUCGCACCUCGACUACUUAUACAACUUGGUCUGUCCACUACACGGGCGGUCGGGGGCUACACCCCACGGGUGCUCAGCUCAUAUUGGUGCUUUUCCGCAUAGUUUCAACUGCUUUGCGGCUUGUUCGUCCCUCUUAAUAGUUGCUAAAGUACUCGGGUAGCACACGCCUUAAUCCGUGAAGCCUGACCCUCAUCUGUCACUUCCUGCUAAGCAUGCUUGAGUCCGCUCGGCAACACCCCGAUAGGGUCAGGUGCUUAAAUGUAACGGGCUAACUACUCGGGGAAAUUACCUGGUCUACAAGAGUAGGAUGCGCAAGAGUUUACUUGUACAAUGAAUCAAACUUACGAGUUAUUCAAUCAUUAAAUAUUCUACAUUAUGCUACAUAAUGUUUGCAUCGUCUUUUUACAGCUCAGAAACUACUUAGCGUGCCUCCUACCACUCGGUCGACCUCCCAGGCUCGGGGAUCGGAUGUGGGAGGUGACUCGGCGUGCUUCCGUGACUCGGCCGGCUCCCAGGCUCAGGGGCUAGGCACCACAGAUGACUCGGCGAGCCUUUUGCCGCUCGGCCGACCUCUCUGGAUCAGGGCGCCAACUGUCGCGGCCGUGAACGUGCAUUUGGCCCCCUAAGUGGGUUUUGGUGUUGAUGACAUGCAUGGUUAUUGGACUAAUAAUUUUAUCAAGUGAUUAACAGGUUUUAAUUC